rnacentral:lncRNA from 1 species
CUUUGACCUUGUGGUUGUUUUAUAGGCUCCUCAUCAGAACACCUUAUAUCCUUAGCUGAGGUUCCUAUGUUCCCCAGAAACCAUAAGCCCCCUUAACUUUGCUCUGAUUUUUCUGACUGCUUUCUACACUUACUGAUAGUAGCACAACACCUUAGAAACCUGGAUCUUGAUGACAUCUGCACACAGCUUAAAGAGAAUAUUGGCUUCAACAUGCCACAAUUUAGACAUAUUUGGGGCUGGCCAUCUAGAAAUGGACUUUGGACUUGAAAUUCCCAGAACCCUCAGCAACACAGCGUCCCUCCACUCUGAUCCACAUGCUGUGGUCCAGGCGUAAGGUAGUGUGUCUGAGAGAACACUGUGAGGGACUCGGUCAGCUCACUGGACUCGGCUUCUCAUACUGUCUAAAUGUGAGCUCGGUGCUGGGUCUGUGUCCUGAUGACGCCACAGCCACUUCCUGUUGUGCAAAAACCAAGCUAUCAAGUUUGAACUGCUUUGAACUGCCAUCUUGAAUAUAGAGAAAUGGAGCACAGACGCUGGCCUGGUGCCCCCUUCUCCCAGUGUGAAGAAAUGGACGUCUGACUAGCAAGUUCCCUCUCAAAGUUUCAAGACUCCCAUAGUAAGAAAAGAAGAAAGCCAGAUGGUUCCAGUUUUGUUUGUGGAAGCAACCACAGAGGACUCACACUGAGCCCAGCUGCCUCUUCACCCUUGCAGGUUUCUGUGGGUUGUACCUGUUCCUCUUGGUUCUCCAUUGUUCCUUGUCCAUCAGUGGGUAGACAAACGUCAAUUAUUUCUGGUGAAGCAAUGGAUCAUACUAACCAUGGACUGAAACUCCAGACGCCAUGACUUCAGACUCCGGCUACCUUGGAGACAGCUGUGUGAGCACUGAAAGUGGUGAUAACUAUAAUUGACUGUGGAAAUAAUGAUGAUCCAUAAAUCUACAUUGGAACUCUGUGUGCAUGUGAGAGAGACAGGAACACACACACACACACACACACACACACACACACACACACA